ACACACACAUAUUAUUGAAACUUGGACAUUGAAUUGGUAGGUCGAAUCGGUAAAAUUACUUUUUUGUUAGUCUCGAUAACUUUUAAAGAUAAUGGUUCUUGUAGUCUUCUAAUCAUUUUCACUACUAAAAUAAAAAUUGAUAAGUUUAUUUAAACUACAUUAUCGUCUAAUAGAAAAAGAAAAGGUUAAACGCCUUUAAAUACGUGAAGCAAUAGACACAAAAGGAAAGGAAAAGAGAAGAAAAGUAAAGUGAAAAAGUUUCUUUUGUUGGAAUUCACUUGAAACAAAGAAUUGAAUUGUUAAAAUUAAAAAGAGAAAACAAAACAAUGGAGGAAAAUUGUAGAAAAUACAUAGACGCUGAUGAAGAUCAUUAUGUAUCAAUUGAUAGUUUAGACGAAGAGGAAAGAUACGAAGAUGAUGAAUAUAUUAUGAAAAAACCAAGUGUUGGUAUGCAGGUAUUAUGUAUACCCGUUGCAGCUUUGUGGUGUCUAGUCGGUUAUUGUAUAUUUCGCAUGCAACCUCCGUCAAGUGAUGACGACUAUUAUACGAUAGAAAAAUACGCCUUAAGAAAGCCUAUAAAAAAGAAAUUGAAAAAGAAGGAGAAGAAAGCUAACGAAGUAUUCAUGAAAAGACGUCAGAACGUUGAAGAACUCUAUUCAAAACCACUAACAGGGAGAUCGAGAAAAGCAUCUGCAGCAUCUCUAGAUUCUGCCAAAGAUAGUGGCUAUUCGACUAAAAAUUCAUCUUUAAACCUUCCCUUAAGAUCUGCUUCAAAGUCAGACGAAGAUACCCCAAGUUUACCAGACACAAAAUUAAGAGAUACCUGUAUUAAGAGUAGUCAAGAUAAAUUAGCCGCCCUUGAUGAUUGGCUAGACAGGUCAUUAAAAAAGUCUGAGAACGAUCUCUCAAAUAUAGAUGAAACUACUUUAUUUAACGCUGACAAAGCAGACAAUUCAAAUAUUGAAUGUCAAAAUGAAAAAACUGCAGAAUAUGACGUAAUUGAUUCAUUAACUAUAGUCAGUACGGACACAUUGAACAGACUGGCAAAUUUAAGAAAGUGUGAAAAUGUUGUUUCUGGUUAAAGCGGAUAGAAAAAUAACGCGAAAUAUAUUAACAAUAAAGAAAAGUAAAAAUAUAAAAGAAAAUCCGGUUUUUUUUUAAAAAAAAAAAGAAAGAAAAACAAUUUAUUUACAAACUUUUGUUUUUACUUGAAUUCAAAUGGGAAACUUGUUAUUGUUUUUUUUUUUAUUAUUACUCUUCUUACUUGUUUGUUCUUUUCCUCUAUUCUUUUUAUUUCG
rnacentral:misc_RNA from 1 species